ACCUAUUGCGCUAUAUCUGCAGGUGCUUGCACCUGCAGGCAUUGCCAACCAACCUUUGUUUAUUUGCCACUUUCGUAAAUUCCCUCGGCAGGGACGCCUGCCAUUGGAAAACCCCCGAAACUCCUUAAAAGAUUAUCUUAAGAAUCCAAGCAAAAUAUUACAACUUUCAACAAUGGAUCUCUUGGUUCUGGCAUCGAUGAAGAACGCAGCGAAAUGCGAAAAGUAGUGUGAAUUGCAGACUUUAGUGAAUCAUCGAAUCUUUGAACGCAUAUUGCGCCCCUUGGUAUUCCAUUGGGCAUGCCUGUUCGAGCGUCAAUAUAUAUGCUCAAGCUUUGCUUGGUGUUGGGUGUCUGCCUACGCUAUUUUGCGUGGACUCGCCUCAAAAGGAUUGGUAAUAGCUUUCCAGCCUCUCGCGCAGCACUUUGCGCUUCUCGAAGCUUCGGUAGGCUAGUAUCCAUAGAAAGCCUCUCUAGUUUGACCUCGAAUCAGGUAGGGAUACCCGCUGAACUUAAGCAUAUCAAUAAGCGGAGGAA
rnacentral:rRNA from 1 species